GAUGAACGCUGGCGGCGUGCUUAACACAUGCAAGUCGAACGGAAAGGCCCUGCCUUUGUGGGGUGCUCGAGUGGCGAACGGGUGAGUAACACGUGGGUAACCUGCCCUUUACUUUGGGAUAACUUCAGGAAACUGGGGCUAAUACCGGAUAGGAGCACCUGCUGCAUGGGGGGGGUUGGAGAGUUUGGGCUGUUGGGUAUGGUCUCGGCGCUUAUCAGCGUGGUGGGGGGGUAGUGGCUUACCGAGGUUUUGGCGGGGCGGCGGCCUGAGGGGGUGACGGGCCAUAUGGGCUCUGAGACAGGGCCCAGACUCCUGCGGGGGGCAACAGUGGAGUAUAGUGCACUAUGGGCGGAACUCAUGCACAGCCACGCCGCGUGCGAUAUGGCCGCCUUCGGUGUGUAAACCUCUUUCGCCUGAGACGAAGCGUUAGUGACGGUAAGUGGUAAAGAAGCACCGGCUAACUACGUG
rnacentral:rRNA from 1 species